rnacentral:misc_RNA from 1 species
GAGGAAGUGAGCAAAAUGUAGAUCAGGCUGGGGGAUCACCCCCAGCCGAAUGACUUGUACAAUUUUUUUGAAAUGAAAUGGAAUGCCUCUUUGUUCAAUGAAUGGUUGUGAUCGGAAAAUUUUAAACCAUUGUUUGUCUGAGUAUUUGAUUGUAUGAGCACAGCAAAACAAAAACUAAAUGUGAUUAUUAAUCUAAGUAUGAGAGAUCGGAAAGCACUUUGAACAUGAGAUCGGUAGGGAAGAAAUGCUGAACAGAACUUGACCGAAAAUUUAACUCGGACACUUAAGAUCGGAAUCGAGCCAAAACUUUAGCUCUUAAACUUUCGGAAAGGAGGUCGGCAAUAAAACUGGUAGGAAAAGAUCUAGUGCCCGUUCAUUUUAUUCAUCAACAGAGAUCAGGAAUAUACCCGACGAGUCCGGAAAUUCGGCAACGGGUUUGAGGGAUCGGUAAAUGAUUUGAGAGAUCGGCGAGGCCUUAAUGAAUAUGAGGACUCAGCAUUAAUUCAAUUCUUUGUGAGGAGAGAUCGGAAAUGUGACCGCCUAUCAAAGAGGGAUCGGAAACGUGGUUAGCUGUUCAAAGAAUUUUUAUUGAUUCUAGGGGUCGGCCAAAAUAUGGUGUCGACAAUACUGUAUCCAAGCUCAUUGUUGGUUUAAAUUUUAUUUCUGCGAUGAAGAUUUUGUUUGCUUCACUUUAGUUAUUUCUUUCGCUCAACUAUAUCAGUGAAAUUCCAUUGUAUGACAGGUCACAAACUACCAUGUUGUUGAU